CCCCCUCACCCGCCUGCGAAGCAUGGCCUGGGUCCGGCAGGGGCCUGGAGGAGCGGGGCGCCCGGGCGGAGGGGGUGUGCAUGGGGACGACGGUGGAGGUGGCGUGGGAGUCCUCCCGGAUCGGACUAUUCCGCCCUCGGAAUUCCCUUCUCCAGAUCCGAGUGUGGUCAGGCAUGGAGGUUCUUGGGAAUCUACUGAAAAGAAAAUUAAUGGGUGGAAGAGAGUUUGAAUGAGCCUUUAACAUUGGCUCUUGGUGUCUGUGCAGCUUUCUGAACUGCCCUUCCUGAAGUCUCAGUACCACAGGGGGUACUUGUCUUGUGGGGUAGACGGUCCGGUCCUCGCUGUAUUUCCCUGUCACCUGAGGCUGCUUCUGCAUGUGUAGCAACAGUAUUACCUUCCCAGGGGCGUCCUUGGGCCUUUGGUACAUCCAUGUAUCUGUACCCACCGGCUGUUGUCACAGGGCUGCGCUGUCUUCAGCGAUGUACCACGACUCAGUUAUCAUCUCCAGUCCCACGUGCAGACUUUCUACUAGUAACUAGUGCCUUGAGACAGUGCGCUGGUGCCAACUUCACAGAGUCUUCUGUCCUACUUCCUGUUUCCCUCCUGAUUUGGCAGCCGGAUUCCCUUUCAGGAAUUGAGGGAGAUACCCUUCCUGGAUGGCCCACAGGGCAGGCUGGAUGGAGACAAGAGGUUGGCAACAUCAGCAUCCGGACCUGCUAUUUUAACCCGCAGAUGUCCUGAGAAGAACUUUACCUUUUGUUGUGGUUUGUGUUCCAGACGGCCUGGAGGCAGCGUUAACUGUUGUUAGGAAAAGUUAAAAGUCAGAUAUUUGUUUAUUUAUACCCUGCCUCAUCCGACAAAGAAUUUGUGGAGUGUCACGUGGUAUAAUACUAAUAAAUUAAUAAAAACCUG